rnacentral:piRNA from 1 species
UGGGAAGCUGAGGCCUUUCUGGCUGU